UGGAAAGAUUUUUUGGUCAGGGAUGAGCUCGCGGCCUAUCAGCUUGUUGGUGAGGUAAUGGCUCACCAAGGCGUCGACGGGUAGCCGGCCUGAGAGGGUGACCGGCCACACUGGGACUGAGACACGGCCCAGACUCCUACGGGAGGCAGCAGUGGGGAAUAUUGCACAAUGGGCGCAAGCCUGAUGCAGCAACGCCGCGUGAGGGAUGACGGCCUUCGGGUUGUAAACCUCUUUUAGCAGGGAAGAAGCGAAAGUGACGGUACCUGCAGAAAAAGCGCCGGCUAACUACGUGCCAGCAGCCGCGGUAAUACGUAGGGCGCAAGCGUUAUCCGGAAUUAUUGGGCGUAAAGAGCUCGUAGGCGGUUUGUCGCGUCUGCUGUGAAAUCCCGAGGCUCAACUUCGGGUCUGCAGUGGGUACGGGCAGACUAGAGUGCGGUAGGGGAGAUUGGAAUUCCUGGUGUAGCGGUGGAAUGCGCAGAUAUCAGGAGGAACACCGAUGGCGAAGGCAGAUCUCUGGGCCGUAACUGACGCUGAGGAGCGAAAGGGUGGGGAGCAAACAGGCUUAGAUACCCUGGUAGUCCACCCCGUAAACGUUGGGAACUAGUUGUGGGGUCCAUUCCACGGAUUCCGUGACGCAGCUAACGCAUUAAGUUCCCCGCCUGGGGAGUACGGCCGCAAGGCUAAAACUCAAAGGAAUUGACGGGGACCCGCACAAGCGGCGGAGCAUGCGGAUUAAUUCGAUGCAACGCGAAGAACCUUACCAAGGCUUGACAUAUACGAGAACGCUGCAGAAAUGUAGAACUCUUUGGACACUCGUAAACAGGUGGUGCAUGGUUGUCGUCAGCUCGUGUCGUGAGAUGUUGGGUUAAGUCCCGCAACGAGCGCAACCCUCGUUCUAUGUUGCCAGCACGUAAUGGUGGGAACUCAUGGGAUACUGCCGGGGUCAACUCGGAGGAAGGUGGGGAUGACGUCAAAUCAUCAUGCCCCUUAUGUCUUGGGCUUCACGCAUGCUACAAUGGCCGGUACAAAGGGCUGCAAUACCGUGAGGUGGAGCGAAUCCCAAAAAGCCGGUCCCAGUUCGGAUUGAGGUCUGCAACUCGACCUCAUGAAGUCGGAGUCGCUAGUAAUCGCAGAUCAGCAACGCUGCGGUGAAUACGUUCCCGGGUCUUGUACACACCGCCCGUCAAGUCAUGAAAGUCGGUAACACCUGAAGCCGGUGGCCCAACCCUUGUGGAGGGAGCCGUCGAAGGUGGGAUCGGUAAUUAGGACUAAGUCGUAACAAGGUAGCCGUACCGGAAGGUGCGGCUGGAUCACCUCCUUU
rnacentral:rRNA from 1 species